rnacentral:pre_miRNA from 1 species
GAUGUACUCCCUCCGUUCGAAAUUACUUGUCGCAGAAAUGAAUAUAUCUAGAUAUAUUUUAGUUCUAGAUACACUUAUUUUUAAGACAAGUAAUUUCAAACGGAGGAAGUACCUU